AGCCCCUCCCUCCUCUCUUCUCUUAGGGGUCAUCAAAUAAUUGAAAUCACCAAUGACCAAAGAAGAGACUCCCUACUCAAUCAAGUUAGAGAUCUCAUCCUACAGUACUCUCCACUUUCUGUAGUUGGUACUAGUAUACACAUCCGAUAAGAGCCAAGUAAGUCCAUUUAAUUUAGAAAUUAUAAUGAUUGCUUGCUAGGUAUAUCUAUGAAAUACAUCCAUAAUGGCUACACUAACCCUCCACACCACAAUGAUACCCCCGGCCA
rnacentral:lncRNA from 1 species